rnacentral:rRNA from 2 species
AGACCCGAAACCCGGUGAUCUAGCCAUGGGCAGGUUGAAGGUUGGGUAACACUAACUGGAGGACCGAACCGACUAAUGUUGAAAAAUUAGCGGAUGACCUGUGGCUGGGGGUGAAAGGCCAAUCAAACCGGGAGAUAGCUGGUUCUCCCCGAAAGCUAUUUAGGUAGCGCCUCGUGAAUUCAUCUCCGGGGGUAGAGCACUGUUUCGGCUAGGGGGCCAUCCCGGCUUACCAACCCGAUGCAAACUGCGAAUACCGGAGAAUGUUAUCACGGGAGACACACGGCGGGUGCUAACGUCCGUCGUGAAGAGGGAAACAACCCAGACCGCCAGCUAAGGUCCCAAAGUCAUGGUUAAGUGGGAAACGAUGUGGGAAGGCCCAGACAGCCAGGAUGUUGGCUUAGAAGCAGCCAUCAUUUAAAGAAAGCGUAAUAGCUCACUGGUCGAGUCGGCCUGCGCGGAAGAUGUAACGGGGCUAAACCAUGCACCGAAGCUGCGGCAGCGACGCUGAUGCGUUGUUGGGUAGGGGAGCGUUCUGUAAGCCUGCGAAGGUGACCUGUGAGGGUUGCUGGAGGUAUCAGAAGUGCG